CCUAGAGUGCUGCCUCGACGGGGGCAGGAAGAUAGGCGGAGCCCUAGUUGGAAACGAGCAGGGCUCCGGGAGGCGGAGCGUGCGCGGGACAUCCCUAGGAAGCACCUUCUAUAGGCCGCAAGUGACGGCAUGCUCCACUGGGCGCGAGCGUGGAGGGUCCCCCGUGGGAAGCUUGGUGCCUCCUCCCCCAGAUGCUCGGCGGUGCCCGUUGCCUUCAGUAGCAGCCGCAGUAGUGGCCAAGGAAACGCCGAUCCGAGGCCGCUGCCGCUGUCCUAUAACCUUCUUGAUGGAGAGACGACACUCCCAGCCAUCGUGUUUUUGCAUGGACUCUUCGGCAGCAAAACCAACUUCAACUCCAUUGCCAAGGCGAUGGUCCAGAGGACCGGCAGGAGGGUGUUGACAGUGGAUGCUCGGAACCAUGGUGACAGCCCCCACAGUCCAGAUGCAAGCUACGAGGCCAUGAGUCAGGACCUUCAGGGCCUUCUGCCACAGCUGGGCCUGGUACCCUGCGUCGUCGUUGGCCACAGCAUGGGAGGAAAGACAGCCAUGCUUCUGGCCCUGCAGAGGCCAGAUGUUGUGGAACGAUUGGUCGCUGUGGACAUAAGCCCAGUAGGAACCACACCUGGAUCAUACCUCGGAAGCUACAUAGCAGCCAUGAAAGCUGUUGAUAUCCCGGAGAAGGUGCGGCACUCCGAGGCCCGAAAGCUGGUGGAUGAACAACUUAGCUCCACUGUCAAGGACCCAACCAUUCGGCAGUUCCUGCUCAGUAACCUGGUGGAGGUAGACGGGCGAUUCUCCUGGAGAGUGAACUUGGAAACUUUAGCUCAGUACUUGGACAAGAUUUUGACCUUCCCACAGCAACUUGAAUCCUACUCGGGGCCAACUCUCUUUCUGCGUGGUGGAAAUUCUAGAUACAUACAACCCAGCCACCACUCAGAGAUUAGGCGUCUCUUUCCUCAAGCCCAGAUUCAGACCGUGCCUAAUGCUGGCCACUGGGUCCACAGUGACAAGCCCCAAGACUUCAUGGAUGCUGUCAGCAGCUUCUUGGCCUGAGAAGUGGCUCCUUGGAAGAGCAGACAGGGAGCUCUGGGCUUGGCAUCCUUGUGACCUGUCCCUGGCUUCUGCACAGAACAACUCAGGUGCGUACACUCCCUGGACUUCUCUGUUUUCCUCUUGUCACUGCCAGAUGACGCCGCCACCAGCUGGAGGGCUUCUGUCGCCUGUGAUUUCAUCCCAGACUCCGCACACAGGUGCAGGGGAACGCAGCUGGACAAGCGAGGCAGUAUCACCCUUGACCUGUAGGUGGCAGCAGCUCCCAACUGCAGAGAUCCAAUGAGCGGACCCGGCUCCCCAAGGGCGUGAGAUGGAACCAGCCGUGCCCAGGGCGCUUGGCAAUUCCCAGGGCUCCUUUGUAAAAACUCUGCUCAUCUGAUCCUGCACGUGUUUUCCACUCACUCUAUCGACACCUCGGGAAUCAAGGGACACGACCCAGUGGAUGGCAGCGGUAGCACAGGCCUGUAAUCCCAGCACUUGGGGAGGUAAAGCUAAGGAAAAGGAAUUCAAGAACGUCCUUGGCUACAUAUCACGAGGUAGAAGCCAGCCUGCGGUCAAUGAGACUCCGUGGCACACACAAAGAAACCGACUCUGUGGGUGACUUCCAGCCUGGCCCUCACCUGAAUUCCAGGGCAUACCUGUGCGUUAGCUUUCCUAUUGGACUGUGAUGGGGAGCGCAAAUUGAAGAGUUCCCACCUCAGAUCACAUCAUCCCUUACUCUGCAGCAUUCUGCUUCCUCUCCGUCCCGUGUCUCUCUCCCUGUGAGACAGGCAUCCUAAGUAGCUAGCCUUGGCUAUUCUAGAACACACUACGUAAACAAACCUGACCUUGAACUUAGUGCUAUCCUGCAUUUGCCUUCCCAGGGUUGGGGUUACCGGUGUGAGUGACAUACAGCUUUUUUUUUUUUUCUUAAUGCGUGGGUAUUUUGCCUAAUUCUCCCGGAAGACAGAAGAGGGUGUCAGAUGCCCUGAGCUGCCCAUGUGGGAGCUGAGAAUCAACCCCAGGUCUUCUGAAAGAGCAGUGAGUGCCCUGAACUGAUGACUUUCUCCAGCCCCCUGUAGUAAAUUGUUUUGUUUUUCCAAGGCAGGGUUUCUCUGUGUAGCUUUGGUGCCUGUCCUGGAUCUCACUCUGUAGACCAGGCUGGCCUUGAACUCACAGAGAUCCACCUGGCUCUGCUUCCCGAGUGCUGGGGUUAAAGGCGUGAGCCACCACCGCCCGGCUUGUAGUAAUAUAUUUUAAAGUGUGUUACUUUUGUUUUUGUUGCAUUUGUUUAACUGUGAAGCUGUGUUACUGUACCUGUCUAAAACACCUGAUGGUCUAAUAAAGAACUGAACGGUCAAUAGCAAGGCAGGAGAAAGGGUAGGCGGGGCUGGCAGGCAGAGAGGAUAAACAGAAAGAGAAAACUGUGAGGAGAGAUGAAGCAGCCAGAGAAGGAGGAGGACCCUAGGGGCCAGUCACCCAGCUACACAGCAAACCACAGAGAAAGAGUAAGAUUUACAGAAGUAAGAGAAUGGGAAAAGCCCAGAGGCAAAAGGUAGUCAGGAUAGAAUAAGUUAAGAAAAGCUGGCACCAAACUAAGCCAAGCUAAGGCCAGGCAUUGAUCAUUAAGAAAAAGCCUCCAUGUGUGAUUUAUCUGGGAGCUGGGUGGUGCCCUCCCCCACCCCAAGAAAAAGAGUAAAAACAACCAACAACAUAAUGGCGUGCUCUGGGAUGUCCUGUAUGUUGUGAAUAAAUAAAACUCUGAUUGGCCAGUAACCAGGCAGGAAGGAUAGGGUAGGAGGGACAAGGAGGAGAAGAAUCUGGGGAGGUGGAAGACUGAGGCAGAGAGAUACAGCCGCCGCCAUGACAAGCGAGAUGUAAGGUACCAGUAAGCCACGAGCCACGUGGCAACUUAUAGACUAAUAGAUACGGGUUAAUUUAAGAUAUAAGAACUAGGGGGCUGGAGAAAUGGCUCAGAGGUUAAGAGCACUGACUGCUCUUCCAGAGGUCCUGAGUUCAAUUCCCAGCACCCACAUGGUGGCUCACAACCAUCUGUAAUGAGAUCUG